UAUGUCAUCUUUUGUAUUCGAUGAUUUGAGAUAUUAAAGAAAAGAAUGUAAUGUGUUAUUAUGAGCAAAUGUGAUUUAAAAAAAAAAUGAUGAACAACAAUGUAAGGAAUCGUGAUUGUAAAGGUUGAAUGCAAUGUAUGUGAUAAAAAAUGAAUCAUAAUACUUGUGUAAAUGUUUAGCUUCAAUUCUUUCACUCAUGGCUUUUGUGAGGAAGUGAAUUCUCGAAAUACGAGGAU
rnacentral:lncRNA from 1 species